rnacentral:tRNA from 1 species
GGAUUAAAAAUAAAAAUCUUUGGUCUGUGAAACUAAAGAGCCUGGGUUCGAUCCCUAGUUGAUUCA